AGUGAACGCUGGCGGCAGGCCUAACACAUGCCAGUCGAACGGCAGCACAGUAAGAGCUUGCUCUUACGGGUGGCGAGUGGCGGACGGGUGAGGAAUACAUCGGAAUCUACUUUUUCGUGGGGGAUAACGUAGGGAAACUUACGCUAAUACCGCAUACGACCUACGGGUGAAAGCAGGGGAUCUUCGGACCUUGCGCGAUUGAAUGAGCCGAUGUCGGAUUAGCUAGUUGGCGGGGUAAAGGCCCACCAAGGCGACGAUCCGUAGCUGAUCUGAGAGGAUGAUCAGCCGCACUGGAACUGAGACACGGUCCAGACUCCUACGGGAGGCAGCAGUGGGGAAUAUUGGACAAUGGGCGCAAGCCUGAUCCAGCCAUGCCGCGUGGGUGAAGAAGGCCUUCGGGUUGUAAAGCCCUUUUGUUGGGAAAGAAAAGCAGCAGGUUAAUACCCCGCUGUUCUGACGGUACCCAAAGAAUAAGCACCGGCUAACUUCGUG
rnacentral:rRNA from 1 species